CUGUAUGUGGAUGAAAUGUCAUCAGCCAGACCCCUAGUCUUGUCACCAUGCUUACUAUGUCUGCAGCCAUGCCUUGCCCACCCUGAUGGACUCCCUCCCUCUGAAACUGUUUCCAACAGAAGACAUGGCCCAAAUUAGAGACUUAGAAAAUGGGAGCAGUUCAUACUUCUCUCAAACUCUGGGACCUCAGCUUCUAUUUCCAUGUUGCAGGAAUUCUGUGAAAAAUAUGACUUACAAGAUGAUUUGACAGCUGACAAGAUGACUUACUGGUCAGCUGCACAAUGAGGAACUUGAAGGGACAGCGGAAGUAUCUCCAAAUGCAGAAGUAGAUGUGAUUUCCCAUGUAACUGAUCAUAGGAAAAGAAUCAUGUAAUCAGAGGGCUCCAGGCACAGUGCAGAAACUGGUUGCCUUCUGAGUACCUUCCUGUACCAAAGAUGCUAGAAGCUAGGGGUGAAGGUUCUACAUGGGCAGAAGCUCGACUUCUACAUGUUCAGUAAGUUGGAUGGUUUCGAGGCUGGCUGUGACACUUGCAGGGACCUCCACAACAUUGCCGGACUUUGAGGUUCCUUGCCAAGAGGGAAAGAGACCAGACUUGCAUGUGCCUUUUACAACAGUGAAGAAGUGUCUAGAGCUGUUUGAGCAGUUGGAAGAAUUCAGAAGGCUGGAGGCAGCCUACCACCAAAAGUUCAUUGGCUGGGGUUCUCAGGAUGCUAGGCAAGUUGGAGCUGUCAAGAGAAUGCUGAACUUACUUAUGCAGAGAAACCUUGUGGCUUUUGACCUAAGACUUAUGCAAUAGCCACUCUGUGAUGAGAACUGUAAAUUUUUGCCAGCAUCUUCCCCAUUUUCUUCCCAGUUGCAUCUCUUGAAGAGAUGGAAGAGAUGUAACGCUGUAUGGGAAACUUACUCAGUGUAGAAUUGCAUUUGAGGAAUACUAAACCUGAGAAGAACCUUACAAGUUUGAUUCCCGAUCAUACCAUUAUUCUUUACCUUGCAGGAGAGGAUUCUGAGUCCCAGAAUAUGAUGAUGUGACAAAGAUCACGUAAGAGAGAGAGAGAGAGAGAAAGAGAGAGAGAGAGAGAGAGAGAGAGAGAGAGAGAGAGAGAGAGAGAGAGAGAGAAUCGGGCCCAGCCCAUACAGCUCUGUACUUUCUUCUACUGUGCAGUCCACGAGCUUCUCAACCAGUUUUGUGUUGAAUGAAGCCCCUCUUCCUAUAGCAGAAAGAAAACCACUGCCAGCAAUCCAAGGUGGAGUCAUCCUUGUGGAUUCCUGAGAGCUUCCCCAGCACCCUUCCUCUUCCUAUUCCCAUGAUAUCUUCAUUUAUCAUGGUAUCUCUUUCUUUGCUCUCCCACUCUGUCCCUGUCCAGCUCAAUCCUCCCGUUUCCUUAUGUUCUCAUCCCCAUUCUUUGCCUUCCAUUACCCUCCCACACACUCCCAGUUUGCUCAUGUAGAUCUCAUUUAUUUCUCCUUUGCUGGGCUAUCUAUGUGCCUCUCUUAGGGUCCCUCCUUGCUGAAAAUAUGCACAGAAAUAAUAAAGUAGUAUACAAUUUGCUUCUCAGUCUUGAACUGAUUAGAAUUCCAAAUGAAAACCACUGUGUAGUUUAUCAAUGGGCCUGAACUAAAGAGUCAGCCUAAGGUGAGAACACUAAGAAAUUCAUAUCCUAACUGUCAUCAUAGAGCCUUUGUCCACUGACUGAUGGAAGCAGAUGCAGAGAUCCAUGGCUGGGCAUCAGGCUAAGCUCUGGGAAUCCAACCAGUGAGAGAGAGGAGGGAUUCUGUGGGUAGAGGAUGUGGAGAUCAUGAUAGGAAAACAUGCAGAGAUGACCAGCCACAUUAGUGGAAACCCAUGAACUGUGGACUUGUAGCUAUCAAGGCCCAUAGGACUAGACUAGGCCCUCCGGAUAUGGGAGACAGUUGUUUGCUUGAACUGUUUGGGGGGUCCCCAGUUGUCCCUGGUGCAUGGGCAGGCUUUUUGGAGCCCAAUGCCUAGGGUGUGACACCUUGCACAGCCUUGGUGCAGGGGGGAGGGGCUUGGACCUGCCUCAGCUGAGUGUACCAAGC